AGGAAAUCUCUUCAGAAUUGUGCACAUUGUCGGCAUUAUUGAUAUUAUUUGAUUCCCAAAAAGUCUUAUUUUGUAGGUGCACUUUAAUCUCAAGCAGCUAAUCGGAGGAAAUUAAAAAAAGCCCGUUCAGUAUAGUAGGAUUGGCGUAAUUGCGAAUGAAAAGCAUUUAACCAGCUAACUGCAUCGAUCUCUUCGGAUAAUGUGCAUUUAAGUUGCGUCAUAAUGACGAGUAUACUCGUCAAAUACAAUUUAUGCAUGUAAUAAGCAAUUAGGUUUUAUAAUGGAAAUAUAUUCACAAAAUGUGACAAACACACAUUCUAAAAUCAUUCAGAGUAAUAAAAUUUUAUAAGAAAAUCUGACUAUAAAGGACGGAUAGACCGAUCAUGACAUAUAUAUUCAUUAUAAACUGCUUAACCGGUUAAAAUUUUAAAAUUGUAUUCACAUCUCGGAUUGUUUCUCGUCUUUGCCAGUUUGCAUCCAAUAGAUUCAAAAAUAUUUGCUUUAGCUCGUCUUGACCGCUCGAUAGGCUUAAUUCCGCUUGCUUAGCUAACAUUCUCAAAUGGACAUCAAGUUAGUUUCAAUCAAAGUUAUAAACAAAAAUAUUUUUUUGGCAUUUGAGUAUUGAUUGUGUAUGCGUUGAUCGUGCCAAAUGCCAAAGUCAUAAUACGUUGUCCGUUCUCCUUCAAUUUCACUUAUGAUCGUUUAUGGGUCGUUUCUUUUCGAAAUAUAGUUAAGCCCUGAUCUAUAUCUUUGUAUUAUAUAUUACGAUACGAAUCAUAAUUUUUGAAUCGGGUCAAGUACUUAUUGAUUUCUGGACUUUUCAUUAUGCAAAAAAUAUGAAAUCGUAUCGCAUAUAGUUUAAUUUCAUAUCUAUAUUCGUCUAUAUAAUCUCCUAAAAAUUUCAAUGUGUUUUUUUUUUUUUAGAUGAGAAAAAAUUCUUGAUAAAAUUUUUUAGUAUUUCGCAUUAGAGAGAAUAGAAUUUUAGAUGAAGAAAUCUCAACUUGCUUGUUAUUGUACUGAUCGUGAAAAUUUUGAUGGUAUACGUUCAAUAUAACUCAGGAUAAGCAUAUAAGUGAACUAAAAUGUUUUCUGUUCUUGCUGGUAAAAAUUCGAAAAAUACGCAUCGAAAUAUCCUUAAGAUGAACAUGAAACUUUUUGCUAUCUUCACAUCGACGGCCAUAGCUGCGAAAGUGCGAAAGAAAAUCUCAAAUUUCAGACAUCAAUUUUUGAAAUCGAUUUAAUAACAAGAUUUGCGUGAAGUUACUGAACGAUAUCCGCCGCAAAUUGAAAGGGGAAAAAAAGAAUAUUUUAAAAUCUGACUUGCGGUAAUUGCCCUAAGACAACUGAUGCGACUGGGAGGGUUUGCCUACAACGAACGGAGAAUGCCAAAUAUGAUUUAAACGAUCGCGAUGCGAUGUUCAUAAUUAGCUUUGGGUGUUCGGUGCGUAUUUUUGCGACUUUUAACAUGAAUAGCAGUAACGGUAAACUCUUAUGGUUUGGUGAUGGAUAUAAAAAUUCCGUACUGUGUGUUCUACGCGUUUCGGUAGGUGCAAUUUUGUUUGUUGUUGUUGUUGUUGUGAUAAUAGCUAUCACUCAAUAAUAAUUUCAUAUUCAUUUCUUUUGCACCGAUUUUUUUUUUAAGUUUUUUUACCAAAGUUCAGUUAAAUCUGUCUGUUUAUUUUUUUUUUUCACAAAAAAUACAAAAAAAAAAAAA